UGGACAGGGGAUCUCAUCGACAUGGCGAAAGCCAGCUCUGGAGAGAACUUGUACGUCCGGCUUGGCGAAUCUCCUGCAGUUAUUGUGCAUGAGCAUACGUAACGCAACCUGACUAAACUUACCAUGAUAUCAAAAGCCUAUCAGUUAAUGUCUUGCAUGUUCUUCAGUGUUCACAACAGGUCA